UGAAAUUUUUCUUCUUUUAAAAAAUAAAUUUGGAGACGUCACUUCGGUGUUUAAAAAAAAUGAUAAGCGUGAAGCAAAGCCUUAUUAGCUGUCUAUAUUUUAAAGUAAAGAAAAGUUAAUAAACAUUAUGGAUGCAGCCGGAAUUAAUUGAUUAAAAAGGAUGUGAAAAGCACGUGGCGAGACCUCGGACUAAGAGUGCCGCUUUUCAAAUGGAAAUGGAAUUACUUCUGAGAAGCAACCACGGAAAGAAUUAGAAUUAGGUCUUCAUUUAUAAAAGACGCCCUCUUUGGGGUACAACGCUGGAAUAAUGUGAAAUUACAAACAUUUUCCGGUAUGGGAGCUUGAUUUA